UACGUAGGGUGCGAGCGUUGUCCGGAAUUAUUGGGCGUAAAGAGCUUGUAGGCGGUCUGUCGCGUCUGCUGUGAAAAUCCGGGGCUCAACCCCGGACUUGCAGUGGGUACGGGCAGACUAGAGUGUGGUAGGGGAGACUGGAAUUCCUGGUGUAGCGGUGAAAUGCGCAGAUAUCAGGAGGAACACCAAUAGCGAAGGCAGCUCGCUGGGACGGUACUGACGCUAAGGCGCGAAAGCGUGGGGAGCGAACAGG
rnacentral:rRNA from 1 species